GUCAUGGAAGUCACGGAAAGCACCCUGGAACAUGAAGUUCUCAACAAAAAAGAAAAACAAAUGUUAAGGAAGGGAUCCAACCUCCAUUUGAAGAAUUCUGAUUACGGUGAACUCACUACCUCCAAAGGUCACCCUUUGUAUUUUCAGAACUUCAUUUGUUAGGAGGUCUCUCCUGAUGUUAAGAAACAUCUGACCCUCUACAGCUUCUCCAUCUGAUAUGACCAGUUCUAGUCUCUAAAACUAAGCAAAGUAAGUCCACUCAUCUAUAUAUUCUAAAGUCAUCAAUGUUUUCCCUAUGAGACCUAUAUACAGUCAUCUAUAUAUUCUAAAGUCAUCUAUGUUUUCCCUAUGAGAUCUAUAUACAGUCAUCUCUAUAUUCUAAAGUCGUCUAUGUUUUCCUAUGAGAUCUAUAUCCAGACAUCUAUAUAUUCUAAAUCAUCUAUGUUUUCCUAUGAGAUCUAUAUAUAGACAUCUAUAUAUUCUAAAGUCGUCUAUGUUUUCCCUAUGAGACUAUAUCCAGUCAUCUAUAUAUUCUAAAGUCGUCUACGUUUUCCCUAUGAGAUCUAUAUCCAGACAUCUAUAUAUUCUAAAGUCAUCUACGUUUUCCCUAUGAGAUCUAUAUAUAGACAUCUAUAUAUUCUAAAGUCGUCUAUGUUUUCCCUAUGAGACCUAUAUACAGUCAUCUAUAUAUUCUAAAGUCGUCUAUGUUUUCCCUAUGAGAUCUAUAUACAGUCAUCUAUAUAUUCUAAAGUCGUCUAUGUUUUCCCUAUGAGACCUAUAUCCAGUCGUCUAUAUAUUCUAAAGUCGUCUAUGUUUUCCCUAUGAGACCUAUAUACAGUCGUCUAUAUAUUCUAAAGUCGUCUAUGUUUUCCCUAUGAGACCUAUAUACAGUCGUCUAUGUAUUCUAAAGUCGUCUAUGUUUUCCCUAUGAGACCUAUAUACAGUCGUCUAUGUAUUCUAAAGUCGUCUAUGUUUUCCCUAUGAGACCUAUAUACAGUCGUCUAUGUAUUCUAAAGUCGUCUAUGUUUUCCCUAUGAGAUCUAUAUACAGUCGUCUAUGUAUUCUAAAGUCGUCUAUGUUUUCCCUAUGAGAUCUAUAUACAGUCG
rnacentral:lncRNA from 1 species